UAUUUUGUCAGUCUAUUUGAAGACAAGACAGAUCUUUUCCAGAUGCAGCACUCAAACAGGGCCUCCUGUUUCUAGCAAGACUCAAGACAGAUUCCUGGGCCCACAUUGACUUCAGACAUUUGACUACCCAUAAGUGGCUGAACUUAAUUGGGAAGAGAAUCCCAACUCUCAAUGCUGUCUAUUUUUACACUGACAAUUUUGCUUUUUUUUUUUUUUUUUUGAGACAAGGUCUUGCUCUGUCACUCAGGCACUCAGGCUGGAGUGCUGUGGUGCAAACAUAGCUCCCUGAAGCCUUGACCUCCCAAGCUCAAGUGAUCCUCCCUUCUCAGCCUCCCAAGUAGCUGGGACCACAGGUGCAUGCCACCACGCCCAGCCAAUUUGUUAAAAAAAAAAAAAAAACCUUUUUGUAGAGACAGAGCCUCACCAAACAUUGCCCACGCUGGUCUUGAACUCCUGGACCCAGGCAGUCCUCCCACCUCAG
rnacentral:lncRNA from 10 species